GGGAGAAGGCAGGAGAAUGAGGUUAGGAGGGAGAGAUAGAUCAGCCAUGAUUGAAUGGCGGAGUAGACUUGAUGGGCUGAAUGGCCUAUCACUUAUGCGCAUAUGAACUUAUGAUGACUGGAGACACGAGGAACUGCAGAUGCUG